rnacentral:rRNA from 1 species
AGAUAAUAGAUACCCUGGUAGUCCACGCCGUAAACGAUGAGUGCUAAGUGUUAGAGGGUUUCCGCCCUUUAGUGCUGCAGCUAACGCAUUAGGCACUCCGCCUGGGGAGUACGGUCGCAAGACUGAAACUCAAAGGAAUUGACGGGGGCCCGCACAAGCGGUGGAGCAUGUGGUUUAAUUCGAAGCAACGCGAAGAACCUUACCAGGUCUUGACAUCCUCUGACAACUCUAGAGAUAGAGCGUUCCCCUUCGGGGGACAGAGUGACAGGUGGUGCAUGGUUGUCGUCAGCUCGUGUCGUGAGAUGUUGGGUUAAGUCCCGCAACGAGCGCAGCCCUUGAUCUUAGUUGCCAGCAUUUAGUUGGGCACUCUAAGGUGACUGCCGGUGACAAACCGGAGGAAGGUGGGGAUGACGUCAAAUCAUCAUGCCCCUUAUGACCUGGGCUACACACGUGCUACAAUGGAUGGUACAAAGGGCUGCAAGACCGCGAGGUCAAGCCAAUCCCAUAAAA